GAUGAACGCUGGCGGCGUGCCUAAUACAUGCAAGUCGAGCGAACGGACGAGAAGCUUGCUUUUCUGAUGUUAGCGGCGGACGGGUGAGUAACACGUGGAUAACCUACCUAUAAGACUGGGAUAACUUCGGGAAACCGGAGCUAAUACCGGAUAAUAUUUUGAACCGCAUGGUUCAAAAGUGAAACACGGUCUUGCUGUCACUUAUAGAUGGAUCCGCGCUGCAUUAGCUAGUUGGUAAGGUAACGGCUUACCAAGGCAACGAUGCAUAGCCGACCUGAGAGGGUGAUCGGCCACACUGGAACUGAGACACGGUCCAGACUCCUACGGGAGGCAGCAGUAGGGAAUCUUCCGCAAUGGGCGAAAGCCUGACGGAGCAACGCCGCGUGAGUGAUGAAGGUCUUCGGAUCGUAAAACUCUGUUAUUAGGGAAGAACAUAUGUGUAAGUAACUGUGCACAUCUUGACGGUACCUAAUCAGAAAGCCACGGCUAACUACGUG
rnacentral:rRNA from 1 species